CCUACGGGUGGCUGCAGUGGGGAAUAUUGCGCAAUGGGCGAAAGCCUGACGCAGCGACGCCGCGUGAGGGAUGAAGGUCUUCGGGUCGUUAACCUCCGUCCGCAGGGAAGCACGGUCCCUGUGCUAAUCAGCCGUGGAUAGACGGUACCUACAAAGGAAGCACCGGCUACCUCCGGGCCAGCAGCCGUGGUAAUACGGUGGGUGCGAGCGUUAAUCGGAAUUACUGGGCGUAAAGCGUUCGUAGGCGGUAUGUCAAGGCAAGGGGGAAAUCCCCGCGCUCCACGUGGGAACUGCCGUUGAAACUGGGAAACUUGAGUGGGUGAGAGGAAAGCGGAAUUCCAGGUGUAGGAGUGAAAUCCGUAGAUAUCUGGAGGAACAGCAGUGGCGAAGGCGACUAUCUGGCACAUAACUGACGCUGAGGAACGAAAGCGUGGGUAGCGAACAGGAUUAGAUACCCUAGUAGUC
rnacentral:rRNA from 1 species